UGGUAUUUUGUUAAAUUUAAAGGUUACCCCCCCGAAGCCAACGAAUGGGUUUCGGCAAAACAUUCCAGAAUGGAAAGAUUAGUCCGGGAGUUUCAUGCAGCGCAAAAAGCUGCUACAGUGCUACAGAAUUCUCCACCCCCUUCUUCCUCACCCUUGCCUGACCCCAACCUUCCAGCGAAGAAAAA